CUGGUUUCACCGUUUAUCAAAUUCAAGUCUGAACAAGAAAUCCCACCUCUAGAAGAGGUUUAAAAAACCCGAUAGAAAUACACAAUAAUGGAAUGCACACAAAUACCCACACAGGUUCUGGACGACAGACUGGGCUUAUUGGGAGCGAGUGGUGACUGCAGAGAGAGUUCUGGGCGAUGAAUUUUGCAAAGCUGUUUAAAGUCGACAGCCUAACAUUUAUGUUUUGAUCUAUCUGUGAAUCAUGACUUGGUAUAAAAGGCGUGGCAGCCUGCUGUGAGGGCAGGGACCCCCUGCUGGUCUGUGUGGGGGGUGAUGGUGGUCAACAUCCACACUCAGGAGAAAGAAAAGCAAGGCACUUGUAUAUCCACUCUCUCUCUAGAAACAUCCAACCGUAACUCAUGUAAAGAGCCCACAUCGAAGUGGUGACUUCACCUAAAGGCGUAGAAAAAUAGAGAUUUCCCCCGUUAAACUGCUGCUGAAUACUACUGGUUAAUGGCACUGGCCCAGAGCUCCCAGGGACAGGAGGACAGGGGGGGUGACAUUGGUGACAUCAUCCAGAGCCGCGGUGACAUCACUGAUUGCUGUUUGACAUCACUCAUAGGGUCUGGGUUUGGAAGGGCCCUGGUGGGUUUGAUAAACUGUUCAUCCCCUGAGACCUGUCAAUCGGAGGAACACCCCCCCAAAACACAACCUCCCCCCUCUGAAGAUCAUAUGAGCGCAUCAUCUAUCCCUGGUCAUAUACAGUCUCCUCUUCAUGGAAGAUUACAAAUUAAAAGGCAAACAUUCAUGGCUGACUUUAUGUGGAAGGCCGCUGGCUUUGCAUCGGUAGACGGAGGCCCUCUGCCUCAGGUGUGGAGCCUCAGGUCUGGAGGCUGAGGUCUGGAGCCUCAGAUCUGGAGCAUCAUGGGACCAGGGGGUCUGGAGCCUCACGUUUGGAGGAUGAGGUCUGGACCCUCAAGUCUGGAGCCUCAGGUCUGGAGCCUCAGGUCUGGAGCCUCAGGUCUGGAGCCUCAGGUCUGGAGCCUCAGGUCUGGAGCCUGAGGUCUGGAGCCUCAGGUCUGGAGCCUCAGGUCUGGAGCCUCGGGUCUGGAGCCUUGGGUCUGGGGCCCCAUGAGGCCAACCGGGGGUCUGGGGCCUCAGGUCUGGAGCCCCAUGGGGCCAGGGGGUCUGGGGCCUCAGGUCUGGAGCCCCUACGGGCCAGGGGGUCUGGGGCCUCAGGUCUGGAGCCCCAUGGGGCCAGGGGGUCUGGGGCCUCAGGUCUGGAGCCCCAUGGGGCCAGCGGGGGGUCAGGUGUUGGUCCAGCGUCCUCUCCGCCGUCCCGAGGGACCGGGCUCCACGGCCGUGGCUGCAGCCUCCUCAGACUCAGUGCUGUAUGUUUUAUUAAGUAUCUGAUACAAACUGGUGGAGAACUGGUAAGCCCAAAGGCUCCCAGUACCAGAUCCCAGCAGAACAGUGUCUGUGGAGGGGCGACGCCCGGCCCAUGUCCGGGGGGCCUGCCCUCCAACGGGUCCACCUGGGCCAGGGACUGGCCCUUGGGGACCAGGGGGGGCGGUUAUUGCUUCAGGAGAGGAUGGGUGGGAUGGGGUUAGGGGUCAGGGUAGAGGGGUCCAGGGUUAGGGGUGGGGUUAAGGGUCGGGUUAGAGGGGUCCAGGGUUUGGG
ensembl:lncRNA